AGGGAAAAAGAGGGAGGGGACUACAGAAUUUUGACCAUGAUUGCAGUACCUCUAAAGGCUGAGAUGAACUUGUUGGAGUAAUUGUUUCUAAAUGAUCACAAAAAUCUUUGUGUUACAUUGAGUUCUGUCAAGUAAGAAGACAAAAGCUGUCUUUGAAAGCUACCAAGAAGAAUGCUGGUAACACUCCACUGUGUAAGGGGGAGAGCCACAUGAAGGGUUUUCUGUUUUCUCUCAUGUAUGGUAAUCAACAGAAGGAUGUUGUUCUGGCCCAAGGACUUCAAAGCGGAGAGAUGACAGGAUCUGCCCAAUUUCCAGACGAACUCUUUUUGAAGUAUUUUACGAACUCUUUUUGAACUUUUUUAUGGAACUCUUUGAACAGUUUUACGAACUCUUUUUGAACGGACCUUUUCUGUGAACUUUUUGCAACCUUUGUCCUUUGGAAACAGCCGUGGUGGCCAUGUGGUCGGGGAAGGUCCAAAAUGAAAGUAGGAGGCAUACAAUCAAUUGGGAGAGCGUGCUAAGAUACUGUUCAAGGGUACAGUGUAAAGGCAACUCUCCUCAAUAUAUUAAGUCCAAAUUGAAUUCUGUCUGUUUGAUUCCUUGCCUCUUGUCUGGUUUAAUAAAUGUCCUCAGUGUUUGACCCUGACAGAACUUAAGGACGAAAGUAUAUUUAAUGAAUUUAAAAUAAGCUAACAAGGUGAAUGUUGGUCACCAGUUGUCACAUUCUAAAACGAAAACUAUACUAAAGACUUGGGAGACUUCAUAGUCAUUCAAUUUAAGACGACAUGUCAGAGGACACAGCAGUCACAGCUUGAGGCUUAUGAAGGGUUUUAAGUCUGAAGUCUUUUAGAACCGAUAUUCUAAGGAUCUUGUGACCUUGUUUUUUUUUUUUAUUCAAACAGCGUUUAUUUAUUAGCCAGUGCUCAGGGGUUUCAGCGAUGAAGAAAAUAGCAGAUAUAGGAACGACACAGAGGCACUCUUGUUUACUGUUCUGACAGGAGUUUCGUCAAUUGUAGAAAUGUGCUUACGACGCAACGUCCCUGCCUAUAAUACCGCUAUCUCCUGAAACACAAACCCAUAGGGACUAACACAAAGCAGGAGAAGCCUGCCAAAGUGAGAUAUCAGGCCAAACCAGGAUUGGAUGAUCUCUGUUUGUGGGAGGGAUGUGCUUGUGUGUGUGCAGGACUGGUGCACCGCCAUCUGCUGUACCUACCCUCUGCACUUAUCUCACGGGAGCGAACGAGGUCGCUCUUGUUGCCCGCCAGGAUGAUUGGCAUGUGAGGCUGGGACUCCCUGAGGAGGAGGCGGAGCUGUGCGGUGCGAUGGAAACUUCGCCUGUCGGUCACGGAGAAGACCAGGACGCACACGUCACACUUCAGCGUGGACAGUGCCUUCAACCGGAAGUAGAAGUGCCUUUCCCGUCUUCUUGCCGUCCAUGGCGUUUCUACUCGUACGGAUUCUCCAUUCAUCACUCCGAGCAACUUUUUUUUUUGAAUUCACCCAAACGUCCCCUGUUUGGAGAGCAAGCUUCCGCAGCUCGUGGGUCCAUGACGAUGACUUCUCUUUUGCUUGAUCAGCCGUUUUACUGCCGUGUUACAGACACCGUUUUUAAACAAUUAAGCCAUCCAUAGCGGUUCUACUCGUACAGAUUCUUCAUUUGUCACUCCAAGCAAUGUUUGUUUGUAAAAUCACCAAAACGUCACCGUGGAGUUAUUGAGUCUGUUUAGCUGAUUGUACAGCUAGCUUCCACAGCUAGUGUCUUCUAGCCGUCCAUAGCGUUUCUACUCGUAUGGAUUCUUCAUUCAUCACUCCAAGCAACGUUUUUUUGUAAAUUCACCAACACGUUACCUUGGAGUCUGGAGACGAUGACUUCUGUUUUGUUUGGUCAGCCAUUUUACUGCCUUGUUACAGACACCGUUUGGAAAUAAUUAAGGUAUGUAAAUAAACAUUUACA